GCGGGCUGGACCUCUCGGGGUUACAGCCUUGCUGAAUUAUUCACCCUUGUCUUUUGCGUACUUCUUGUUUCCUUGGUGGGUUCGCCCACCACUAGGACAAACAUAAACCUUUUGUAAUUGCAAUCAGCGUCAGUAACAAAUUAAUAAUUACAACUUUCAACAACGGAUCUCUUGGUUCUGGCAUCGAUGAAGAACGCAGCGAAAUGCGAUAAGUAGUGUGAAUUGCAGAAUUCAGUGAAUCAUCGAAUCUUUGAACGCACAUUGCGCCCUUUGGUAUUCCAAAGGGCAUGCCUGUUCGAGCGUCAUUUGUACCCUCAAGCUUUGCUUGGUGUUGGGCGUCUUGUCUCUAGCUUUGCUGGAGACUCGCCUUAAAGUAAUUGGCAGCCGGCCUACUGGUUUCGGAGCGCAGCACAAGUCGCACUCUCUAUCAGCAAAGGUCUAGCAUCCAUUAAGCCUUUUUUCAACUUUUGACCUCGGAUCAGGUAGGGAUACCCGCUGAACUUAAGCAUAUCAUAACCGGGGA
rnacentral:rRNA from 1 species